CAACUGUCCAAAAACAGAAAAAAUGAUGACUCAAGUGAUUCACAAAGACAUGUGCAACAUAUGGUGUCUAAUACAAGUGCACCUAUAUGGCUCAAUGAUGUAUCCAUGGAAAACAAUGACAGUUUAAGUUCAUUUUGUGUCACUAAUUAUACUAGCUUAUUAAUGGAUAACCUUCAUGAGGAUACCACAACAAUGAUCAAUCCAUAAAGAUGUGAAGCAACUCUUUUUUUUUUUGGGAAUCUACUUCUGGUUGUGUUUUGGACCAGUUAUUUUGGUAUAGAUGCAACAUGACUUGAUGUUUUUUGGACAUGUUAUUUUGGCAUAGAUGCAAUAUCACUUUAGUUGCUACAAGUGUAAAUUCAAGAAAUAGUAUAAGUAUAAAUACAAUAUUAGUUUUCUGGUUUUUCUGUAUAAUAUGACUUUAG